rnacentral:lncRNA from 1 species
UUGUUUUUUCCGGAUAUUCAACUUAAAUGAUAACCAUCUGAAUAUAUUUUUAUUGUAACGAGACAGGAUUACAACAAUGUCUCUUAGGUACAAAGGUAUUUUGAGAUUACCUUAGCUCUCCCCAAAACCUGUUUUCCUCUAAAACUGCAAAAAAAACUGAUAUUGAUUGAACGUAAGCUUAAAGUCUAGGAGUUUGGCCAUUUGAGAGUAAGACCUGUAGAUGUCCAAUUGUAAGGAGUUAAUUAGAUGUAGUAUAGCCCAAUAGUUAGAGGUACCAUAUAAUAACUCAAAGUGAACUAUUCAAGAGAACUUAGAUCUAAUUGGGCCAUCCUGAACUCUUGAUUUGUGAAAUAUACUGACAGUGUGACAUUUUUCCAUUAAAUAAAAUUUGACUCCAAAGCUGAAGGCAAUUUACAUGUUUGUGUAUAUGUAUAAAGGCUAUAUUUACUUGCUGAAGAGUGGCAGGUUUCUUAUGUAACUGUUUCUUAGAAAAUUCAUGCUAGGUUCCUUUUUUAGUCUUGAUUAUAGUUGUUACUUUAUCUUCUCCCCCUGAAGGUUUAUUAU